GCUCGCUUGCACACGGACCUACGUACGAGACAACACUCUCAUCGACAUCGUUCUCAUCUUCGCCGUAUCGUUCGUCGACACUUCGGACUACAUCUAUACUCUUACGUAUCGUUCUUAAAAUCUUGUGUCGAUGACCUGACCAAGAAAAGAAGUCAAAUUGUUCCAUGGAUAAAAUGUCUCUCAACUUUGUCGAAUAGUAAAGAAAAAAAAAUACAAGAGACAGACAAUGUCUUUCUAUUCAUACAUUGUAGACAAAUUGCCUCAAGUCGAUCGGUUUUAAUGCGACACGAAGUGAGCAAACCGACGACGAGAAUAUAAUCGACGUGCCAACCCACUUUGAAAUUAUACUUACGACGUGACUGUGAAACGAAAUGAAAGUGUGUAAAGAUGAUAGAGGAGAAUAGGGGAGAUCGAAAGCUUUAUCUUAAAAAAGGGAAAAAAAAGAGAAAAGGAAAGGAAAGAAAAAAAAGUUGCAUCGCAUUUUUGUAAAAAAAAAAAAAAAAAAAAAAAAAAGAAAGAAAAAAUCAUUAGUCAGACGUAACAGCGAAGAGAGCACACAGAGUUUUGGCAAAUCUUGUGUAUCGCGCUGACACCAAUGACGCAAUUUCGCACUUCUAUUUACAGGAAUAGGUAGGUACAUCCGACGAAACGAAACAACAACUGACACCCUGAUCCAAUUUCCUUGAGAUGGCUUUAAUCGUUCGUAAAAAUGAUAAAGAAGAGGUAUCGUGAAAUUAUCCAUUUGUCAUGAACGAAAUAAUGAAUGGUAUCGUUUGGGCAAGUAGAAAAAUAUAUUCAUUUUGUAUUUCAUGACUUUUUAACAUAGGACAGACACCCAGAAAUUGAAUGCAUGACGCAUAAGAAAGUAUAUUCGCGUAAUCGUUUGUCAUCGGGUUGGGAUCUCUAAAAGUGAUCGCGUUUAACAGACGCUCGUUUCUUUUCCUCUUUCCUUCUCUCCCUUUCUCUUUCUCGUUCUCUUUCUCUACUUUCUUCGCUUCGUACGAAUCCGACCUACAUACAUUCCGCGUUCCUUCCGUCGCAACGAACAUAAAAAAAUAUGAGCUGUCUAUCGAGCAAGAGGAACGACUACGACAGUCUCUCUUUUACAUUAAUGUGGCUGGACCAAAGAGCAUGGAUUCGUCUUCUUGGAGUGGUAAUAAAAAUAACACCGAUAAAUUAGAUUCGUAUUUAUAGAAAAGGCGGUUCCAAGAGAGCGGUUCGAUUCUCUUCUCCGAUUGGAUAGAGAAACAUUAAUUGUUUUCUAUAACAGCCGAAUGUUAGGGUUCAAGUGAAAUCGGAAACGCACUUCCUAAAGUAACUUUGAGCUAUUAUGGUUUCAUAUAUCAUUACAGUUUCAUUUAGUCUACGAUUUUUCGUAUCUGAUCUUUUUCAUUUAAUUUUUUUUAAUCGAUGAAAUCGGAUCGUACCGGCAUCGGCCUGACAUUCUAAAUAUAAAAGCAACGGUUACCGACAUAUCUCCUACCGUAGUUAUUAAUAAUGCACGUCAAAAAUCGGUUAAUUAACGACGAUCUUCAUUUAUAAAUAGCUUUUUCUCUCGGCAAUAGUUCGAGUCUUAUCUCAUUUAGCAAUACAUUGGCAGCGAAUAGAUUCGCAGAAAGCCGUUCAUCACUUUCGUCGCGGUCCAAUGCAUCAUUCUCGCGCCUUCCUAGGAUCGAGAUGUGUCGAUAAGAGUUAUGCGUAACAUACAUAGCAUGUCAUUUUCAUAUCAAUUUCUACGACUUCCGUAAAUAAUAUUUUACAUAUAUCGAUUGUCGAUUUAUUGCAAUCGAUCCCAUCGAUUUUAAUUCAUUAAAGUCGUAACGCCGAGUCGAAGUGAUCGAUCGAGAUCGUAAAAGACACUCGUUUGCUUAGGAAUUCUAAGUAUUGGUCUAUUAAGAAAACGCCACUUCGAACUCGAAGUCAAUGAUCUCGAUAAGGUUUUCUUUUUCUUUUUCUCUCUCUC